rfam:Montana myotis leukoencephalitis virus, complete genome
UGCGAGUGAGGGCAACUCUGGGAUUAGCUCAAUGGGUGUGACGACCCUACCCUUCCGCAUUUGUAAAUAAUUGAGCCAGUCA